AUCUAGCUGACGAGUCCCAAAUAGGACGAAACGCGCGUCCUGGAC
rnacentral:hammerhead_ribozyme from 1 species